rnacentral:rRNA from 1 species
UACGUAGGUGGCAAGCGUUGUCCGGAAUUAUUGGGCGUAAAGCGCGCGCAGGCGGUCCUUUAAGUCUGAUGUGAAAGCCCACGGCUCAACCGUGGAGGGUCAUUGGAAACUGGGGGACUUGAGUGCAGAAGAGGAAAGUGGAAUUCCAAGUGUAGCGGUGAAAUGCGUAGAGAUUUGGAGGAACACCAGUGGCGAAGGCGACUUCUGGUCUGUAACUGACGCUGAGGCGCGAAAGCGUGGGGAGCGAACAGG